CAGUCGCCACGGGAAUACAGAGGGUACGAGCGUUAAUCGGAUUUACUGGGCGUAAAGCGUGCGUAGGCGGCUUUUUAAGUCGGAUGUGAAAUCCCUGAGCUUAACUUAGGAAUUGCAUUCGAUACUGGGAAGCUAGAGUAUGGGAGAGGAUGGUAGAAUUCCAGGUGUAGCGGUGAAAUGCGUAGAGAUCUGGAGGAAUACCGAUGGCGAAGGCAGCCAUCUGGCCUAAUACUGACGCUGAGGUACGAAAGCAUGGGGAGCAAACAGGAUUAGAUACCCCCGUAGUCCCUGUCUCUUAUAC
rnacentral:rRNA from 1 species